UUUGGGGUAGAGAUAGAGAUAUAGGAGUACUAACAUAGGGAUAGUAAUUAAUCCUGUAAUCAUGGAUAGAAUUUCACUAUGAGAAUACAAAGCAGAUGUCCAUUUAGGCUGAGCUGAGUAUAAACAGUCUAAGCAUUAGGGACUGUGUUUUUAAAACAUUUUACAUGGUCUUUGAAAGCAAGAAAAUUUGACCAAAUAAACCUUGUAAUCCCAUAGAACAAAUGAGCAGAGUGCCCUCUGAUAGGCAAUUGGCCAUUCUCAGAUGUGUCUCUUCUAUGUUUUUACCUCCCAGACACCUCACAUAGAGCUUCAGAUUUCCUGAUUUCUUGCAAAAGAAGCAGAGCCUGAGACUGACUAUGAAAUAGCAGUACAGAGGGGGCAGAAAAAAAAAAAACACACCAAGGAGUGAGAAGGAGAAACUAGAGAAUUAGUGAAGAAUAUAUAUAAAAUACAACUUCUACUUCAUUUGUCAAAGUUACUAGUAUAUAAUUUUUUUAAAAUGAGGCAUCAGGCAAAUGAAGCUAAUUUAUACUUAUUACCUUUUAAAAAAAAUUUUCUAUAAUGCAGAUGAGGAUCAUAACAAACAGUAUGAGCCAAAGUAGAGACAUAAUUUAUGUUUAUAAAAUAUGAUUUUAAAACAUGCCAUCUUUUAAAAAACUAUAAUAUUUAUUUUACUUUUUUAUUUAUCUUUCUCUCCUGGGUUACAACCCAACUGCAGUUUCUCCCUCUUCUACCCCUAUUCCCCCCCCCAUUCCUUCCUCUUGGUCAGAAAAGGGCAGGCUUCCGAGGGAUUUCAACUAAACAAGGUAUAUCAAGUUGCAAUAGACUAAGUACCUUCACUUCUAUUAAGGGUGGUCAACACAACCCAGUAGGAGGAAAAAGGUCCCAAAGGCAAGCAAAAGAGUCAGAGACAGCCCAACUUUGACUGGUCCCACAAGAAAACCAAGCUACACAACCAUAACAUAUAUGCAGAGGGCCUAGGUCAGCCCCAUGCAGAUUCCCUGCUGGUUGUUUCAGUCUCUGUGAGCCCACAUGGAUUCAGUUAGUUGAUUCUGUGGGUUUUCUUGUGGUGUCCUUAACUGUUCUGGCUUCCGCAAUCCUUCUUCCCCCUCUUCUGCAGGAUUUCCCUUACUUCACCUAACGUUUGGCUGUGGGUCUCUGCACAUAUUCCCAUCAGUUAGAAGAUACCCUCUUAAUACCAUUGGGUUACACAUUUGCUUUAAGACAUCUAAACUGCUUUUUAAUAUGAGAGGAAUGAAAGGAAGCGUGGGAGCAGCGUGGGGGAUGGGAAGGAAGAUGAUCACAAAAAUAGAUGAGGCUGGACCAAGAAAAACAUACUCCUAGGAAGGUAACCUGUGCUUUUAUAGCCAGAUUAAUUGUGUUAAACAAUAAUUGGAUGUUUGUAGUGGGCAGAAAAAAAUGGUAGGUGUUGUGAUUUGAAUUUUGUAUCUCCUCUGCAGUGUAAAUCAAAUAAACUCCCUUCUAUCUAAGUUGCUUUUGUAAGGUAUUCUAUCAAAGCAGUGGAAAUGUACAGUGACCAUCAUCCUUUAUUACCUAGCUCUGAGGCAAGCUGUAUUUCUAAUAGAAAGGUUUCUGGAAGCAGCUGAUGCCCAAAGCCAUACUGAAGGGAAAUAAGUAGGUGGCAGGUUUUUGUUUUUGUUCUUAUUUUUUUUUGUUUUGUUUUUUUGUUUUUUGUUUUUGUUUUUGUUUUUUUUAGUAGAGGAGAUCUUAGGGCCCCCUGGGUUAGACCUGACUGGAUGGUGUUAGUGGUCUAGGAACCAGGAGAGGUUUCCUCACUGCGUAAGUAGAAAAGUCUCCUUCAUAUUUAUAGUAUGAGUCAGAAAGUGUCAUUUUUAUCAAACUGGUACCAAAGUAUCUUUCAUCAUAAAACCCAAGAAUUUAUGGCUCUGAUAGUUGAAGUAUAUAGGAAAUUUGACUUAAAGUAGGUAGUACCCAUAUCUUUAUAUUCAAGGCAGUUUUACUUGAAAUUAAACUUCUUGGUUCUAGAAGAAAAUGACUUUUAAAUUACUUUGGAAUUUUUGCUUCAUUGUAGAUUUUUCAAGUGUAUUCUAAUCAUUACAGCCUAAAGUGCAGAAAUAAAAAAAAAGUCCCUCUCUUUCUAGGUGGAGGGGUGAGGGAAAAAUUAUGCAGGCGUGGAUUUAUCCUCCUCAGAUGCAUCCCCUGUGCAUAAUUUCCUCCAGGCCUGUGCUUGUUUUAUGGUGGUUACCCACAGUUCUUAAGCCCAAAAGAAUUGCAGUUUGUCUAAUUGAUGUAUAAUAAAAAUAUUUCUUUACCUAGUGUUUCUAUCCACCCUUCAGAAAAAUUACAAAAGGACUGCAAUUAAUAUUUAAAACAGUAACCAUUUCACGUCUGUGUAAGAACAUUAUAUGCAGGAGCACAGCCAGACCAUCUUUUCAAGUCCUAGCCCUCAUUAUGCCAUCUACUGGCUAUAUAGUUGUAGUCAAGAUUUCUUUUUCUUCUUGCCUCAGCUUCCUUAUCAGAAUGGGGCAUCUGAGUGUUUGUUUCAUAACAUCAUUGUAGGUAAUGUCAAGGAGACAGGAUUAGCAAAAUAACUAUAAUAACUUUUGGCAUUUAAGUACAAAGUGCAUAUUUGAUGGU
rnacentral:lncRNA from 1 species